rnacentral:rRNA from 1 species
GAAGUAAAAAUCGUAACAAGGUCUCCGUUGGUGAACCAGCGGAGGGAUCAUUACCGAGUUUACAACUCCCAAACCCCUGUGAACAUACCACUUGUUGCCUCGGCGGAUCAGCCCGCUCCCGGUAAAACGGGACGGCCCGCCAGAGGACCCCUAAACUCUGUUUCUAUAUGUAACUUCUGAGUAAAACCAUAAAUAAAUCAAAACUUUCAACAACGGAUCUCUUGGUUCUGGCAUCGAUGAAGAACGCAGCAAAAUGCGAUAAGUAAUGUGAAUUGCAGAAUUCAGUGAAUCAUCGAAUCUUUGAACGCACAUUGCGCCCGCCAGUAUUCUGGCGGGCAUGCCUGUUCGAGCGUCAUUUCAACCCUCAAGCACAGCUUGGUGUUGGGACUCGCGUUAAUUCGCGUUCCCCAAAUUGAUUGGCGGUCACGUCGAGCUUCCAUAGCGUAGUAGUAAAACCCUCGUUACUGGUAAUCGUCGCGGCCACGCCGUUAAACCCCAACUUCUGAAUGUUGACCUCGGAUCAGGUAGGAAUACCCGCUGAACUUAAGCAUA